rnacentral:rRNA from 1 species
GACAGAGGAUGCAAGCGUUAUCCGGAAUGAUUGGGCGUAAAGCGUCUGUAGGUGGCUUUUUAAGUCCGCCGUCAAAUCCCAGGGCUCAACCCUGGACAGGCGGUGGAAACUACCAAGCUGGAGUACGGUAGGGGCAGAGGGAAUUUCCGGUGGAGCGGUGAAAUGCAUAGAUAUCGGGAAGAACACCAACGGCGAAAGCACUCCGCUGGGCUGAUACUGACACUGAGAGACGAAAGCUAGGGGAGCGAAUGGG